GACGAACGCUGGCGGCGUGCUUAACACAUGCAAGUCGAACGAAGUGGCGAACGGGUGAGUAACGCGUAAUCAACCUGCCCUUCAGAGGGGGACAACAGUUGGAAAGGACUGCUAAUACCGCAUACUGAAGGAGUGGAUUGAGUCUGAUUAGCUAGUUGGAGGGGUAACGGCCAACCAAGGCGAUGAUCAGUAGCCGGUCUUGGAGGAUGAACGGCCACAUUUGGACUGUGACACGGCCCCGACCCCUACGGGAGGCAGCAGUGGGGAAUCUUCCGCAAUGGACUAAAGUCUGACGAAGCAACGCCGCGUGAGUGAUGACGGCCUUCGGGUUGGAAAGCUCUGUUCAUCGCGACGCGGUACCGUUAUAGAAAGCCACGGCUAACUACGUGCCAGCAGCCGCGGUAAUAC
rnacentral:rRNA from 1 species